rfam:TPA: Bos taurus chromosome 5, whole genome shotgun sequence.
UCCCUGGUGGUCCAUUGGUUAGGACUCAGCACUGUUACUGCCAGGGCCCCAGGUUCGAUCCCUGGUAGGGGAA